rnacentral:tRNA from 1 species
GGGGAUUUAGCUCAGUGGUAGAGCACUUGCCUAGCAAGUGCAAGGCCCUGGGCUUGGUCCCCA